ACAUCGGGUGGGGAAAGAGUGUGUGGCAAUCCCAAACGUGCAAUGCACCGUGGGACACACUGCCUAAACAGAUGUGUCAAAAAAAAUAACACAUUGGGAUAUGUAGACAGCAUUGACAGAUUAGGUGUCAUUUUUGUGUAAGAUUUCAUUUCUGGGUCGUGCUACAAGUGAGAAACUAACGGCCGUUUGGCUGUCCAAUCGCGUGACUGUGGACAUUUGAAAGCAGACUUCCGCCCGCCUUUUCUACCGUUGGAAAUGCAAGAUGCGGCGACUUGACUUCAGACACCGAGAGAGGCUGGCGGCCCAGGUCUUAUGGCCACAUCUGUCCAAGCUCCUACUCUGAUUGAACAGUUAGAUGAUCAGACUGAUGAUGAAAAGUGCUACACAGUUCUCACACAUCUUCUGACUCCGAAGCCGCUGCAGUGUAAAAUCUGAGAUGUCUUUUCUGGUUGAUUUUGUGCAGAUUUCUGACAGCGACAGCGAUGGUGAGGGAAGCAGUGUACCGAACUCUCAGAUGACUCGGACCAGGUGACCAAACCCAUGCAAAGCACAAUGUGAGUGUACACACACACACACACACACACAC